AACGCACAUUGCGCUCCUGGGUAUUCCUGGGAGCAUGCCCGUUUGAGAAUCAGUGAAAACCUCAACAACUUCCGUGUUUCCUUGUGGGACUCGGAUGGCUGUUGGACUUGGGUCAUUUGCGAACAGGUGUGGAUACUGGUUAACGUCGGAUCUGGGGGGAGAAGAUGUUGACUAGGGAUAGUAUCCGGGUGUAAGCACCGCACAGCAAUGAUCUUAAAUUCAAUGUCCGCUGCUCCUUCUUAUGUAGGUGCAUUGGCCCGAGUGCUGGAAUGGUCUCACGACUUUUUUUAAUCUCUCGUGUCGGCAUUUGCAGACGAUGUGAUGCUGGUGUGAACUUUACUGAUUGUAAAGAGGUCUGGGUGCUGUAAGGCUCCCUCUCUUAACUUGGUCUCAAAUCGGGUAGGAGAACCCGCUGAACUUAA
rnacentral:misc_RNA from 1 species